rnacentral:lncRNA from 1 species
CUCCUUUUCAUCAUUCCCCAAAGCUUCUAAAUGGAUAGAACUGCACUUCAACUGUCAGAGUUUUCUUUGAAAUCAAUAAGGAGGAAGGCUUACACUAGAAAAUCUUGCCAUCUUUAUCCUUGACUCAUAUUUAGUUUCUGGAUCUUCUAAUAUGCCAUUCAUAUGACUAUCCUUAAAAUUGGCUACAUUUGAUUGUGAUAUCCAUAUUUCUCAUAGUUUCUUGUUAUGUUCAUAUUGCUCCUAGUUUCUCUUACUAAGUUGUGAACUUGUGGAUGUCAGGAGCUUUCAUUUAUUCAUUUAUUCAGCAGGUAGUGACUGGUCAUUUGCCAUGUUCCAGUGAUGCUUCUAGACAUCAAGGACAAAGCAAUGAACAGACAACUGUACCUGCAGUGCACCUGUGGAAAUAUAUCUGGAAAUGUUCAUUUUUUAGCACCGGGCUGUUUGAUCAUGUAGCUGAUUUAUGGUAGUUACUUCUCAUUGGUAGUUACAAUUUGUUAUUUAUUACAAUGUUUGAUGGAUGGAUGAGUGGGAUAAUAAAUAAUGAGAAACAAACGUCACAGGACUCUUGGAAAUGCACUUUCUUACUUACCUCUUCUUCCAUCCCCCAUGAGAUUUCCUACUUGCCAUUUUGGUGUGGAUAAAGCAGAAGUUGAGCAAUCAUGCGGCACUGGUACGGAACAGAAAUGUCUCCUUUGAAGAGACAAAGG